rnacentral:sRNA from 1 species
AUAUGGAUACGCCGCCUCCAAUCCAGUUUUGACGUGCUCUUCUGUAGUAGAGGGAAGAGACUUCAACUGAAAAUAGCAUUUGAAAUGAUUAGGUGCAUAGAUCAGAGCUAUGGCAUGAGGUCCAAAAAAAAAGAAAAACGAAAGUGAGAGUAGUAACCAAAAGAGAUGAGACCGACAUAAAUAAUUUGGAAUUAGCUGUCUCAGAAAUGAUUCGUCUUCAGUAAGAUGCAGUUUUUAAGUGAAUAUGCUUCAGUACAGAAAAUUGUUGUCGUUGAAGAAGCAAUCUGACUACUAAGAGAUGAAAGACAUAAUCAAUAUUUUUGAAUUCCCAUUUCACGAUACCCUAAUUUUGAUUACAUCUACCAACCCAAAUUAAUCACGAUCUACACAAGCUUAAAGAUAGAAUCAUACCUUCAGCAUGUGAUUGGACUAGAAGUGUCAAUUGGGCUGUCCAAAGCCCAUUGGUCAUGUCCACUUGGACCAUUUUUUUCAUGGGUUUUAUUGGUUGGUCUUUAAUGGACAAUGGUCUUAAAAUUUGUCCAAGACCAUUAAAGACCAUUGUCCAAUGGUCAGCCCAUGGCCAGCCCAUACAAUGAUGUUUAUAUACAAUGCAUUUUCACACAAUCUCGUCAAAAGCUCUAUUUAUAAAACCAUAACAUCAACAUGAAAUCAAACAUGCAUGUACCUGUUCUUCCCAGUCUUGUAAUCAACCGUGACAACUCAAACACGCAUCUAAGACUCUCUAUAUGCACCUACAAGUAAAGAAAAAAGCCUACAAUGGCUACAUGGAGAAUGAUUUAACAGAGAAACCCAUUUCAAUACUACUCCAACAUCUAGAAAUUGGAAACCAGAAGUGGCCAUCUUCAAUAAGCUUAGGUAAAACAAUAAGCUUAAACAACAUUUCCACAAUGUAAUCAAUCACAAAUGAUUAUAAGUAAGAGACAAAAUCCAGAAUCAAUUCCAAACCAAAAUCUGUCAUCCAAGUUGCAACCUUAGACCGGAUACCAUCACAACCUAUAGCAAUCUGUCAAAGACAUACAUCAUCAAAUCAGCCAUGUACUGAGAAUAAUAAACACAUAACCAUAGGCUCAGAGCUUAAGAGAACAGCCAUGUACCUGUUUCUUCCCAGUCUUGAAACGUUCAUGCAAGGGUGGUGUUUGUGUCCUCUUGACCUUGGAUCUCAUCAGUUUCUUCAAUAAGAAAAACCGAGCUAUUAAUCUAAAAGCUGCAGUCUAAAAGCCAUAUAAGUUUACUAUUAUAAACGAGUUCAAGAUGUGAAUAUUACCAACUUCUUGAAAUCCACGAAACCAGUUUCUAGUACAUAGGAGGGCUUGCACAUUAGUAGGUAAAAGGCAGCUUCUAUAUUUGUUAAGCACACGACUACCUAUACUAAAAGCUGAUUCCGAUGCCACGGUAGUGAUCGGAAUGCUUAAGAUAUCACAUGCCAUCGAUGACAAUUCUUUAAAACGCGAGACAUUGUUUUCCAAUAUGCAAUAACAUCCAUAUCUCUAAAAGAGACCAUAUCUAACACAGGCUCUUCCAAGUACAUAUCUAAUGGUGAUUUUCCAGUUCCAUUUCUUUCAGAAAAGUAAGAGUAAAACCCCUGAAAUAUGACCAACAAAACAAAAUUCUCACUAAGUAUAAGAAUGCAUUUUCAGAAGCAUUAUGCUUUA